UACGUAGGGAGCAAGCGUUGUCCGGAAUCAUUGGGCGUAAAGCGCGCGUAGGUGGCCCCAUAAGUCCGCUGUGAAAGUCAAAGGCUCAACCUUUGAAAGCCGGUGGAUACUGUGGGACUAGAGUACGGAAGAGGCGAGUGGAAUUCCUGGUGUAGCGGUGGAAUGCGCAGAUAUCAGGAGGAACACCAGCGGCGAAGGCGGCGCUCUGGGCCGGUACUGACACUGAGGAGCGAAAGCGUGGGGAGCGAACAGG
rnacentral:rRNA from 1 species